CCUACGGGUGGCAGCAGUGAGGAAUAUUGGUCAAUGGACGCGAGCCUGAACCAGCCAAGUAGCGUGAAGGAUGACUGCCCUACGGGUUGUAAACUGCUUUUAUAAAGGAAUAAAGUGCGGCACGUGUGCCUUUUUGUAUGUACUUUAUGAAUAAGGAUCGGCUAACUCCGUGCCAGCAGCCGCGGUAAUACGGAGGAUCCGAGCGUUAUCCGGAUUUAUUGGGUUUAAAGGGAGCGUAGGUGGAUUGUUAAGUCAGUUGUGAAAUUUUGCGGCUCAACCGUGAAAUUGCAGUUGAUACUGGCAGGCUUGAGUACAGUAGAGGUGGGCGGAAUGCGUGGUGUAGCGGUGAAAUGCUUAGAGAUCACGAAGAACUCCGAUUGCGAAGGCAGCUCACUGGACUGCAACUGACACUGAGGCUCGAAAGUGUGGGUAUCAAACAGGAUUAGAUACCCGUGUAGUC
rnacentral:rRNA from 1 species